UGAGCAAUCUGCCCUUCUCAUCGGAAUAAGCGUUGGAAACGACGUCUAAUGCCGAAUACGACCUCCUUUCGCAUGAUCGGAGGUGGAAAGCUCCGGCGGAGAAGGAUGAGCUCGCGGCCUAUCAGCUAGUUGGUGUGGGUAAUGGCUCACCAAGGCGAUGACGGGUAGCCGGCCUGAGAGGGUGACCGGCCACACUGGGACUGAGACACGGCCCAGACCUCUACGGGGA
rnacentral:rRNA from 1 species